rnacentral:rRNA from 2 species
GGGUAGUUUGACUGGGGCGGUCUCCUCCUAAAGAGUAACGGAGGAGCACGAAGGUCAGCUAAUCCUGGUCGGACAUCAGGAGGUUAGUGCAAUGGCAUAAGCUGGCUUGACUGCGAGCGUGACGGCGCGAGCAGGUGCGAAAGCAGGUCAUAGUGAUCCGGUGGUUCUGAAUGGAAGGGCCAUCGCUCAACGGAUAAAAGGUACUCCGGGGAUAACAGGCUGAUACCGCCCAAGAGUUCAUAUCGACGGCGGUGUUUGGCACCUCGAUGUCGGCUCAUCACAUCCUGGGGCUGAAGUAGGUCCCAAGGGUAUGGCUGUUCGCCAUUUAAAGUGGUACGCGAGCUGGGUUUAGAACGUCGUGAGACAGUUCGGUCCCUAUCUGCCGUGGGCGCUGGAGAAUUGAGGGGGGCUGCUCCUAGUACGAGAGGACCGGAGUGGACGCAUCACUGGUGUUCGGGUUGUCAUGCCAAUGGCAUUGCCCGGUAGCUAAAUGCGGAAGAGAUAAGUGCUGAAAGCAUCUAAGCACGAAACUUGCCCCGAGAUGAGUUCU